rnacentral:lncRNA from 1 species
UCUUCUUCUUCCCUUCUCCUCUCUCACGUUUCUUCAAACUCCAUGGAAGCUUGAUUUUCAAACUUCCACAACUUUCUCUCUCUAGCUCUAAUUUUCAUGCUUUUGGUGCACCCUUCCAUAAACCCUUGUGCUAUUUCAUCUUCUCACUUCAAAAACCUUGAAAUAUCUUGUUUUCAUACUUUCUCUCACUAGCUGGGCAUUCUAGAGAGAGAAAGAGAGAAUCACUCCAUUGAUUUGGAAGCUAUUGGAAGAGAAUCCAACUACAAAGGAACCCUAGGGUGAGUGAUGCACCAAGUUUGAUUUUUAGCUGCAGAAAAUGGCUAGUAAUUGUGAUUUAUGAGCUGUUUUAUUGUUUAGUAUGUUCAUUACUUUUUAGUGAUUAAGAUAGUGAACAUAGAUAGCCAUUUAAAGUGGCAAUUGAAAACUAGCUAAGAGAUAGCUUUUAGAGUUCAUAGUGUGUAAAUUAAUCUAUUGUUUAUGUUAAUGUGAUCCUAGGUUUUUAAGGAAGCACCAUCAUUCCAAUUGGAUCAUUAGGGGAAUUUGAGUCAAUUAAAAGUUCUACAAUCAAUUGGUGAGUGGACUACCUUCAAAACUGAUUUUGGGAAUAUGAUGGAUUUGACAAAGUGUUUGAAUGGUUUUAUACAAAUUUUCAUGAAAAUGAAUGCCUUGGGAACAAGCUUUUGAGAAAAGGUUUAUGUUAUGAAAUGUGAUUAUUAUGGAUUUCUAUGUGGCUGCAUUAUGUUGAUAUACAUAUAUGCUUGAGUAUAAUGUUGUGUAAUUAUAUUGACUCGGCUAUGUGCGAGUAAGGAGUGCGCAUAAGCCGAGGAGGACCUAGUUUUGUGCAAGUAGGGAGUGCACAAAACCCGGUGAUGACCCAGCCAUGUGCGAGUAGGGAGUGCACAUGAGUUGGUGAUGAUGAUGAUGGGAUGGUGUGAUGAUGAUGAUGGGUAUAUAUGUAUAUAUAUAUACAUAUAUAUGUAAAUAUGUGUGUUAUAGGAAAUUGAUGGAUAAUGGGUUAUGGUUGCAAUGCAUGUGAAACUUGACAUGUUAAACCUUGAGAAAUUGUUAUGUGUUUUCAUGUUGGUUUGGACCUUUUGGCAAGGUGGUUUUUCCUUUGGGAGAGAGGUAAAUUUUUCAUUGAUGCCCUGUAUUUCGCUGUAGCGAGAAACUCUCAGAUUUGGAGGGGUACACUAGUCAGAAACUCGCUGCAGUGAGGAUGCAUUUUUGCUGCUGCGAGAAUGACACUGUAGCUUCUCGCUGCAGCGAAAUGCAUUCUUGCUGCAGUGAGAAACAUUCUGUUUUAUGGGUUGCAAUUUCGCUGCAACGAGAAACAUUCUAUUUCUGGGUAGAAAUUUCGCUACAGUGAGAUUGAAUCUCGCUAUAGCGAAAAACUUUUUGUUUUGGUCUCUUAUAUUGUCCAAUUGCUGCCCUAUCUUUCACUUCUUUGCUACCAUAUGGGAGCAUGGACUUCCAACAUUAAGGAUUAAAAGAGUUAAGUUUAAAAUGAGGAGGUUUAGUGAGAAACCCUCGACCAGUUAAGAAACCUUCGUUCGGUUAAUAACUAAAUUCCAACGUCGAUGCAACGAAAAUAUAUUCUCGCUACAGUGAAGAUUCGUUGUUGUAUUUGACUUGCUUGUGCAAUAUUGAAGCUUUCAUUCUUCAAAUGAUUCGCUAUGUAUGGGUUCAUGAUCUUUAAAUGAUUAAUCACUUAAGGGCUCGAUAAGGGGUUUUAUUAGGAAUGAACCAAAUUGUAUUGUUUUGAAACUAGUGCAUCAUGAUUUUAAAUUUUCCAUUGUUGUUGCUUGUUCCCUUCCUUGUUCACUCAUUGGGUUUAUACUCACCAUUUCAAAUUCAUGUUUUCAGAUCACGAGGCAGCCGGUAACUAGGACGAGGUAUCCUUGUAGACUUGUGUCCAUCUUUUGGUAGGUGUCUCGGCAUUCAGUAGCUGUACAUUCAUCCGAGUC